UUCAUUCGAAGCGCCUAAAAAAUAUUAAAGGCAGAUAGAUUCUGCUACUGCUAUCACAACAUUGAACAGCAAACAACAAUAGCCUGAGCUUGGUCUGGUCUGUAAUGAAACCUUAGAGACAGCCAAGGAAACACUCUCUCCUUCAUUAUCCAUCUCAAGUCUCACCUCCAUAUCCAAGAAACUCCUGGUUAAAGCUUCAAGUUUCAAACUUUACAGCCCUAUAAGAACAAGAACCACAUAAAAACCCAUUCUUUAUCUUCUUCUUCAUUCAUUUCUUGCACUUCUUUAUCAACAAAAGCCACAACAACAUCAACAUGUACUCCAACUUCAACUAAAACUAACAAACACUGGAUGAUUCUAAUCGAAAGUCCCCCAAAGGUAUCAAUUCAAAGCCAGAAAUCAUUGAUUACUACGUCAAGAUUCUAGAGAGAGUAAUAGGCAGGUCGGUUGGGGUUGUUUGUGUUUUUUAACGAUGACCCAUUUUGGUAUCUGUUUUUUUUUGGCCUCAAGUUUGUUGCUUUAUUGGUUUUGAACAGUGAGAAGGAUGCUCAAAUGUGUAUGUAUGAUUCUUCUUGUGACACUCGUUUUGGGUUUUGUUGCGAUAUUGAUGGAGAUGCUUCCCUUGAACUUGCCAGUAAGUUUCUUUCUCUUUUGGCUCCAAUGUAUUGAGAAUUAUGAUGCUAACGCAAAAAUCGUGGAUUUUGAGAGGUUUCCUGAUUGUUAUGGAUGUGUCUGUUGUAGGGUUGCCUGGGGUUAUAUCAGUUAGGCCUGAUCCGGAUUAUAAUUCCGCGGAAAAAGAUUAUAGUUUAGGUGUCAGGUUGAGUCCAUUAUCAAAUCCACAAAUUGGAAGCAAUUUGUUGUUUCCUGCAGGGAAUACAAAACAUUGGCUGGUUAAAAUUGAUAAGCCAGCAGUUGGAGUUGUUACAAAGGCACAAAUGGUUGAUUAUCAUGCUCAAAUACUAACCAAGGUCAUGGGAAAGUAGGUGUUAAUGUUUGAGAAAGAAUGCAAUCUACAUGCUGUUAUAUACCAUGAAAGUGAAAAUUUGAUUUCUUUUGCAGCGAGAAGGAUGCUCAAAUGUGUAUAUAUCACGUUUCAUGGCAAUCGAAUUUUGGGUUCUGUUGUGAACUUACGAGAAUGUGCACAGGAACUAGCUGGUUAGUUUGUUCCCUUUGAAUUGAAAUUUUGUUUGGCAUUUCGUGUUCUGUUUAAUGACAUACCCUUCUGUGUUUUUAGGUGUCCCUGGUGUUUUAUCUGUUCAGCCAGAUAAGAAUGUUGAGUCAGAAAACAAGGAUUAUGGAGGUUUGUUACUUUCUUUUUAGCACUAAGAUUGCUAGUGGUAUAUACGCAAUUGUCAGUUUUAUGAAACUAGCAUCUGGAUUUGCUGCUGGAUGUUGAGUUAUGAUACCGUUAUUUGAGUUUUCAGAAAAGCCCAUUGUCAAUAUUUUGCGUUUAAUGUGAUUGCAAAUUUAUUCCAUGGCAAAUGGUUCUUCUGUAAUGUUAACACGUAAUUGUCCAGGCGAUCACAUAAUCAAUUCAGCAGAUUCUUCAGAAGCAAGUCAGAUAACUCCUGUAAAAACAAGAAAGUUAACCGAGUGCCAAACUAGAUAGCUUAUUAUUCUUCACAGCCAGAUCAUGUACAUGUCCAAGCAUUUCUUGCACGUAUAACAUAUAUAAUAAACUAAUUGUCAAUGAAAUUAAAAACUUCCCUGGCAAAACUUUGUUCUCUUAUCCCUGUAACAUCUCAAAUCCGCGUACGACAUACCUCUGCACUCCUGUAAAUGAAGAUUGACCCAAAGGCCUAACUGUUGGUGGGAGAAACCACUGGUGGUGGCUCUGAAACACUCAGAGGGGAUAAAACACAAGGUUUUAUUACAAAAUAUGAAGCUUACAAUUAAUUAACACAAAAGCUUAAACACGCCCUCUCUCUCUCUUUCUCUUUCUAGUGUUUCUCUCAAUUCUCUCCACACAGAAUAACAUAAGCUGAGCACUCUAUUUAUACACGAAAUCAAAACAAGAAAAUUCAACCUUCAAGUGUGAAGGCGACUGGCGGUCGGUGGUGUGAAGGUGGUUGGCGGCUGCGGCUGGUCGGUGUGGGUGGUUGCCUUCCUUGACCUUCUGGAUUGAGUUUAAGUUUCAACAAAUCUCCCCUUUAAACUCAAUCGAGAGAUGUCAUGCCAAGCAUGAGCUUUAAUCUAAUAAAUACUUCUCCCUUUAAUGGCUUUGUGAAGAUGUCUGUAACUUGAUCAUUUAUUUUGCAGGAUAUCAGUUGGACUUCUUCAUUCUUCACAUGUUCUCGGAUAAAGUGAUGACGUGUAUCAAUGUGUUUGCUCCUUUCAUGAUACACUGGGUUCUUUGCCAAUGCGAUUGCUGAUCGAUUGUCAAUAUAAAUCUCCGUAGGAUUUUCUUGAGGAAAUCCCAAAAACUUCAGCAUAUUCCUUAACCAUAUUGAAUGGCAUACGACUGAGUUGGCAGCAACAUACUCAGCUUCACAGCUUGAUAAUGUUACAAUCGAUUGCUUCUUGGAUGACCAUGUGAAAGAUGUGUCUCCCAUGAAAAAAACAAACUCUGUUGUGCUUUUCCUUUCAUCCAAAUCUCUACCCCAAUCACUAUCCGAGUAGCCUACAAGAUUAAAGUCUUGACUUGAGGUAUAAAACAUACCUUCAUUCAUUGUGCCUUUGAUGUAGCGAAGAAUUCUCUUAGCUACAUUCAAGUGAGACUGGUCUGGUGUCUCCAUGUAUCUGCUGAUGAGUCCGACUCCGUAGAGUAUAUCCAGUCUGGUACAUGUCAAGUACCUUAAGCUUCCUACUAAGCUUUUGAAGUAAGUUGGAUCAACAUUUCCAACCUUACUCUUCCUCAAUUCCACUCCAUUCUCAACUGGAGUUGAUACCGGAUUGCAGCUUUCCAUCUUGAACCUUUCAAGAAUAUCUUUGGCGUAACCGCUUUGGGAUACAAAAAUCCCUUCUUCUUUCUGCGUUACUUCUAAGCCAAGAAAAUGUGACAUUAGACCAAUGUCAGUCAUUUCAAACUCCUGUACCAUGCUUCGUUUGAAGUCGUCAAACAUGGUAGGGUUGUUGCCGGUGAAUAUCAAAUCAUCAACAUACAGGCACGCAAAUAAGAUGCUGCCAUCUGCUCCUUUCUUCACAUAUUGCGUGUUCAUAUGGACAUUUUUCAAAUCCAUUAUCUUGAAAAUACCUGUCAAUUCUGGUAUUCCAAGCACGCGGAGCUUGCUUCAAACCAUAGAGAGCCUUCUUCAACUUGUAUACUUUGCCUUCAUUUUCAGCAUCAAUGUAUCCAAGUGGUUGUUCAACAUAGAUUCUUCUUCUAGGAAGCCAUUCAGAAAUGCUGACUUCACAUCGAGUUGAUAGAUCUUCCAUCUAUGUUGUGCAGCUAGUGAGAUCAUCAGUCUGAUUGUCUCUAGCCGGGCUACUGGAGCAAAUACUUCUCCAUAGUCAAUGCCUUCUCUCUGUUUGUAGCCUUUAGCCACUAAUCUGGCUUUGUAUCUUUGCACUUCUCCUUUGGCGUUCUUCUUCGUCUUGUAGACCCAUUUGACACCUAUUGCUUUCUUGUUUUCUGGUAGAUAAGUCAGCUUCCAGGUAUCAUUCUUCUCAAUGGCAUGUAUUUCUUCAUCCAUUGCUUCUAUCCAUUUCUCUUCUGUGACAGCUUCAUUGAAGCUUAAUGGGUCACUAUCUGCAAAGAAACAAAACAGAGUUGUAUCUUCCAUGACCUGAGUGGUAUCGUACAACUCUUCAAGAUUCCUCAUCCUUCUUGGUCCUUCUGAUGAGGAUGUUGAUGGUGGUGUUGAUGAUGAUGCUCCUGGUGUGUUCCUCCUGUUGAAUACAGGGAAUCUGUGUACCGGACUUUGUGGUUCAGCUGCUGGCACAAUCGGUUCUUCGACAAGUACUGUUGGUACUUCUUCACCUUCAAGGAUCAAAUCAUAUUGAUCCAUCUGACUGCUUCUUGAUCCAUUCCAUGCCCAAGAUUUAUCUUCUUCAAAGAUAACAUCUCUACUCGUAAUCACCUUCUUCGUGAUGGGAUUAUACAGCCUGUAUCCCAUCCUUCUUUCACCAUAUCCGACAAAGAUGCAUUUCUCGCUUUAUCAUCGAGCUUUCUCCUUCUUGCAUCUGGGAUCUUUGCAUAUGCCACACAACCAAAGACUCGUAGAUGAGUAACACUUGGUUUGUGACCACUCCAUGCUUCUUCUGGAGUGACUCCUUGCAAACUUCUGGUUGGGCAGCGAUUCAGAUACACUGCACAUGAUACAGCUUCAGCCCAGUAUUGCUUGGGCAACUUCUUUGCUUUGAGCAAACUUCUGCCAUGUCAAGAAUCGUGCGAUUCUUCCUUUCUGCUACACCGUUCAGCUGUGGUGUAUAAGCUGGUGUCGUCUGAUGUCUGAUGCCUUGUUGUGUACAAUAGGCUUCAAAGUCAUUUGCUGUAUAUUCUCCACCUUGAUCAGAUCUCACGGUUCUGAUCGUGUAACCAGUUUGCUUCUCCACAAUUGCUUUAAAAUCUUUAAAACAAUUGAAUACUUCUGACUUCCUCUUCAGAAAGUAUAUCCACGUCUUUCUACUAAAAUCAUCAGUAAAAGUGAGGAAGUACCUAUUUUGUCCAGUCGACAUAGGCGUAUUGGGCCACACACAUCUGUGUGUACUAACUCCAGUGGCCUCUUUGCUCUCCAGUUGACUUCUUUGGCAAAACUGGAUCUGUGAUGUUUGCUGAGGACACAACUCUCACAGACUUCAUCUGGAUGAUCAAUGUGAGGCAAACCUUUGACCAUCUUCUUGCUUGCUAGCAUCUUCUUGCUUGCUAGCAUCUUCAGACUUGUGAAAUUCAGAUGUCCAAGCCUCAGGUGCCAAAGCCAUUCUUCACUGUUGGUGAUGACACUCAAACACCUUGUUGCAUCAUACUGGAUGUUCAAAGGAAACAUCCUAUUCUUGGACAUUUUCACGUAGGCCAUUAAUCUCCCAUUGUUGUCUCUAAUUGUCAGAUGACAAUUCUUCGAGUAAAAACUAUAUCCUCUCUCCAAAAGUUGACCUAAGCUGAUCAGGUUCUGCUUUAUGGCUGGGACAUAAUACAUCGGCGAUGUAGCUGGAAUCGCCAUUCUUCAACUUGACUGGGAUGUUGCCUUUACCUUUGAAUGGAACCUUUGAGGUGUCUCCAAAAGUAACUAGACCUUGUAUGGUCUCAUCUAGAUCACCGAAUAAAUCUCGGUGGCCGCACAUGUGAUUGCUGGCUCCAGUAUCUAGAUACCAUAUAUUUUCCUGUUUCUCACCAAGUUCUUGUUGGACAAGAAAUGCAGCUUCUUCUCUAUCAUCCUUCGCUGCAUAGUUGGCUUGCUCACGUAUCUCCAACGGAGCUUUCCAUCGGCAUUCAGUGCUAUAGUGCCCAAAUUGAUUGCAGCUAUAACAUUUGAUAUUCUCUUGUCACGGUUAUUGUAACCGCCUCCUCUUCCUCUAGGAGUGAAUGCUUGUUGUCCUCGGCCUCCUCUGGUGGUGUUUCUACCACCUCUUCCUCUGAAGCUUGUAUUCCAAGAUCCUCUUCCUUGGAAUUCUGAAAUCCUCCUCUGGAUUGUUGACUUCCUGCUUGAGUGGUGUAGCCACUUGUUGAAGUCUCCCCUUGCUCAUAUCUGUCCUUGAAGACAGCUUUGCUUGUAAGGCAUGCUCAAUGGCCUUAUCUUCAUUUCGCUUUACAAUCUUCUGCUCAUGAGCUUGCAAAGAACUCAUAAGCUCAUCACUGUCAACUUGUCCACUUCCUUGGACUCUUCAAUUGCGACAACAACAAAAUCAAAUUUUGGAUCUAUGGAUCUCAAAAUUUUCUCAAUAAUUCGAGAUCUGAUGCUUCUCCAUUUCUCCUCAUCUGAUUGACUAUCACCAUAAUCCUUGUGUGAUAAUCAGAAAUAGAUUCUGAGGACUUCAUUGUAAUAAUUCGAAUUCUCCUCUCAAAGAUUGAAGACGAAUCUUCUUGAUUCUGUCAGCACCUUUGUAUUUCUGUUGGAGAGCCUCCCAUAUAUCAUGUGACGUUUCAGCGGAAGCUAUUAUCUCGAAUGUAUCUUCAUCAAGACCUUGAUAGAUGAUGGUCUUUGCUUUGUUGUCCUUCUUUCUGUUGACUUUAAGGGCUUGCUUCUGUGCCUCUUGUAAAGCAUCUUCUCUUUCUUUGGACUCUGGUUCAUCAUAACCAGUUUGUACAAUAUCAAACACUCUUGUGACCAAGAAAUGCCUUCAAUCUGAUGCACCAACUAUCAUAGUUGUCUUUGGUCAGCUUCGGGAUGAGUGUAUGUGUACCUUCUGUAAUCAUUUUGCUCUUUGAAUGACUAUAUCACCUUUUUGGGAGUCGAAUUUGGCCAAAUGGACACUGUAGAUCGAUCCGGAAUGGUCCAAAUAGUAGGGAAUCGGUCUGACUUUGUAGAACUCGGGUCAGAAAAUGGGUGAACCGGUCACAAACCAAUUCUGUACGGCGGGCGGUUCGCUGGGUUGAACCAGGAAUAUUCUAGGGAAUAUUCUCUCGGCGCGCUGGCGGCUGGGAAGUGGCUUGGCUCGGCGCGGAGUACGGCUCGGCUAGGACUUGGCGUAAUCAGCUCGGCGCGGCUCAAAUAUGGCGCGCGUGGACGGCACUCGUCGUCUACCUCUGGCGCGCGUGGAUGCGUGUGGGAUACAAUCAUCGGAUCUUCAGGAGGCGCGUGUGGAUCACCGCGGACUCCGAUCAGGCUGAUUUUUGCUGCAGUGAGUUCGUCUUGAUGAGCUCUACACUGUGGAAUGAUCAAAACUUGUUUUUGACAACUUUGAAAAUUCGGAUAUACCCUAAAACUCUUCUGUUUUCCGACGAACGGGGCUUUGAUACCAAUUGUUGGUGGGAGAAACCACUGGUGGUGGCUUUGAAACACUCAAAGGGGAUAAAACACGAGAUUUUAUUACAAAAUCUGAAGCUUACAAUUAAUUAACACAAAAGCUUAAACACGCCCUCUCUCUCUCUUUCUCUUUCUAGUGUUUCUCUCAAUUCUCUCCAUACAGAAUAACAAAAGCUGAGCACUCUAUUUAUACACGAAAUCAAAAUAAGAAAAUUCAACCUUCAAGUGUGAAGGCGGCUGGCGGCUGGCGGCUGCGGCUAGUCGGUGGGUGGUUGUCUUUCUUGACCUUCUGGAUUGAGUUUAAGUUUCAACACUAACUGUCCAUUGACAUGACUAGGAACUGAAAGUUUUGGACAUCUUUUUUUUUUUUUUAGCUUCAAUUGUCAAGACUUCCUCGUAUUAGAUUUCAAGCACUCAGUUUUUCUCAAAUCAUAAGAGUUUCAAUAAAAAUAUAUAUUUUUUAUUUUUUUAAAAUUAUUUUUGAUAUUAAUAUAUUAAAAUAAUUGGAUAAAUAAAAAUAAAAUUUCUUAAUUUUUUUUAAAUAUUUUAAAAACAGAAAAAAAACAGGGAAUUAAACUUGAGAAGAUAAUAUUGGUUAGGUUCAAUAGUAAAGUUUCGAACUCCAUGACUAUUCUUUCUAGGAACAAUUUAUUACUGUUAUAAUACCAUAGUUAUCAUUAUCAUUAUGGAUUACGGUAUCAUUAUCAUGAUGGAUUACGGUUUUACCUGAUGAACUCAUAAUGAUAUUAUUUUGUUUUUUAAAAUCAAAUGAUAUUAUUUUAAAUAGAAAAAAAAAACUACAAUGAUAUAAAUCAAAUGAUAUCAUUUUAUUUUUCAAAAUAAAAUGAUAUUAUUUUAGAAAUAUUUUUUUAAAAAAACUAAAAUGCAUCGCGGUGUUAUUUAUAUAUAUAAAAAAAAACGACAUGAAAUCAAUUUUCAAACUAGCUUAUAAUGAAAUCUGGCUUGAAUUAUGCUCUUGCUCGGUACAUUACCAGUCAGGUUUAAUAGCCAUUACUAAAACAAAUGACCUCUUCGAAGAGAAACCACUGGUCACUUUGCAAAUCAACUUCUCUCAUGUCUCACCCAUCAAGGCAGAAAGGCUCGUCGUUUGACAUGGUCAUUAACGACCAUCAUUCAUUCGAAGCGCCUAAAAAAUAUUAAAGGCAGAUAGAUUCUGCUACUGCUAUCACAACAUUGAACAGCAAACAACAAUAGCCUGAGCUUGGUCUGGUCUGUAAUGAAACCUUAGAGACAGCCAAGGAAACACUCUCUCCUUCAUUAUCCAUCUCAAGUCUCACCUCCAUAUCCAAGAAACUCCUGGUUAAAGCUUCAAGUUUCAAACUUUACAGCCCUAUAAAGAACAAGAACCACAUAAAAACCCAUUCUUUAUCUUCUUCUUCAUUCAUUUCUUGCACUUCUUUAUCAACAAAAGCCACAACAACAUC
rnacentral:lncRNA from 1 species